rnacentral:lncRNA from 1 species
AGACAUUAGGGUUUAGAGUUAAGGAGUGGGGUUUAGGAUUUAGGAUUUAAGGUUUAGGAUUUAGGGUUUAGAGUUUAGGGGUGGGGUGGGGUUUAGGGUUUAGGGUUUAGGGUUUAGAGUUAAGGGGUGGAGUUUAGGAUUUAGGGUUUAGGGUUUAGGAUUUAGGGUUUAGGGCUUAGAGUUUAGGGUUUAUGGUUUAGAGUUUAGGUUUUAGGGUUUAUAGUUAGGGAGUGGGGUUUUGGGAUAAGAUUUCAAAUUUUGAAAAAUAAAAAAAAUUAAUUUUUUCAAAAGAUAAAAUACUAUUUUGGUCAUUUUAGUUUUUG